GCGAAAGUGGCGGAAUUGGCAGACGCGCUAGACUUAGGAUCUAGUAUCGAGAGAUGUGGGGGUUCGAGUCCCCCCUUUCGCA
rnacentral:tRNA from 1 species